UACGGAGGGUGCGAGCGUUAAUCGGAAUUACUGGGCGUAAAGCGCACGUAGGCUGUAUGUCAAGUCAAGGGUGAAAUCCCACGGCUCAACCGUGGAACUGCCUUUGAAACUGGCAAACUGGAGUAUGUGAGAGGGCGGCGGAAUUCCUGGUGUAGGAGUGAAAUCCGUAGAUAUCAGGAGGAACAUCAGUGGCGAAGGCGGCCGCCUGGCACAAAACUGACGCUGAGGUGCGAAAGCGUGGGUAGCAAACAGG
rnacentral:rRNA from 1 species